AACACAUCCUCAAGCACUUGUGCUUGGUCCUGGAGGAAGAUGUCCGCAUCUCCUCUCAAAUCUCUCAGCGGAAAGUACUGCAGUCUCAGGUGUUAUAAGAUUAACUUUUGCUUGAUAACUGUUGGUAGAUUCUUGCUGUGAGGAGGCCCCCCAGCUAUUCUUUGAA
rnacentral:misc_RNA from 1 species